AAAAUCUCUGAGUGGGCUUCGUUUACGCUGAUUGGAGAUGAUGUGAGACUCGAGUUUGACAACCAGCGGCAAGACUCGGUGAGAACAGGAAAAAAGACCCCGAUAGAGUAAAUAAUGACAAGUACUCGAAGGGAACAGAGU